rnacentral:rRNA from 1 species
AACGAACGCUGGCGGCAUGCCUAACACAUGCAAGUCGAACGAAGCCUUCGGGCUUAGUGGCGCACGGGUGCGUAACGCGUGGGAAUCUGCCCUUGGGUUCGGAAUAACAGUUAGAAAUGACUGCUAAUACCGGAUGAUGACGAAAGUCCAAAGAUUUAUCGCCCAAGGAUGAGCCCGCGUAGGAUUAGGUAGUUGGUGGGGUAAAGGCUCACCAAGCCGACGAUCCUUAGCUGGUCUGAGAGGAUGAUCAGCCACACUGGGACAGAGACACGGCCCAGACUCCUACGGGAGGCAGCAGUGGGGAAUAUUGGACAAUGGGCGAAAGCCUGAUCCAGCAAUGCCGCGUGAGUGAUGAAGGCCUUAGGGUCGUAAAGCUCUUUUACCAGGGAUGAUAAUGACAGUACCUGGAGAAUAAGCUCCGGCUAACUCCGUGCCAGCCGCCGCGGUAAAAC